rnacentral:ncRNA from 1 species
CUGGAAUACCUUCCACUAGAAGCUCUACUACUACUACUACUACUACUACUACUACUACUAUUAAUACUGCUACUACUACAAAGAAAACUAACAAUGCUGUAAAAUGCACUCAUUGAGAAGUUUGAUACUGAAGAAACUGAAGCAUUCAAAGCUGGCUGGCCAACAGGACACUCCAGCCAAAAUAAAAGAAUAGGACCCUCGGCCUUUUAUGAUUAUUUUUUGGAAGCAGGGCCAUAAUUAAGAGCAAUGGCUGGGGACAUUCAUAUUGUGCCACUUGAGUUUGAAUUCUUGGACGAGUGCAAGGUGACCUAAAGCAAAACCGUUUGCCAAGAAUGCUUUCAUUAG